AAGGAUCAUUAUCGUAUCAAGUGUGUGAGGCAUGCGAGGGCUGUCGCUGACCCUUUG
rnacentral:rRNA from 1 species